UACGUAGGGUGCGAGCGUUGUCCGGAAUUAUUGGGCGUAAAGAGCUCGUAGGCGGCCCUCCACGUCGGAUGUGAAAGCUCAGGGCUCAACCCUGAGAUGCCAUUCGAUACGGGAAGGCUAGAGGUAGGUAGGGGAAAGUGGAAUUCCUGGUGUAGCGGUGAAAUGCGCAGAUAUCAGGAGGAACACCGGUGGCGAAGGCGGCUUUCUGGGCCUUACCUGACGCUGAGGAGCGAAAGCUGGGGGAGCGAACAGG
rnacentral:rRNA from 1 species